GACGUAGGGCGCGAGCGUUGUUCGGAUUCAUUGGGCGUAAAGGGUGCGUAGGCGGCGCGGUAAGUCGGGUGUGAAAUCUCGGAGCUUAACUCCGAAACUGCAUUCGAUACUGCCGUGCUUGAGGACUGGAGAGGAGACUGGAAUUUACGGUGUAGCGGUGAAAUGCGUAGAUAUCGUAAGGAAGACCAGUGGCGAAGGCGGGUCUCUGGACAGUUCCUGACGCUGAGGCACGAAGGUCAGGGGAGCAAACGGG
rnacentral:rRNA from 1 species